GACGAACGCUGGCGGCGUGCUUAACACAUGCAAGUCGAACGGAAAGGCCCUGCUUUUGUGGGGUGCUCGAGUGGCGAACGGGUGAGUAACACGUGAGUAACCUGCCCUUGACUUUGGGAUAACUUCAGGAAACUGGGGCUAAUACCGGAUAGGAGCUCCUGCUGCAUGGUGGGGGUUGGAAAGUUUCGGCGGUUGGGGAUGGACUCGCGGCUUAUCAGCUUGUUGGUGGGGUAGUGGCUUACCAAGGCUGUGACGGGUAGCCGGCCUGAGAGGGUGACCGGCGACAUUGGGACUGAGAUACGGCCCAGACUCCUACGGGAGGCAGCAGUGGGGAAUAUUGCACAAUGGGCGGAAGCCUGAUGCAGCAACGCCGCGUGCGGGAUGACGGCCUUCGGGUUGUAAACCGCUUUCGCCUGUGACGAAGCGUGAGUGACGGUAAUGGGUAAAGAAGCACCGGCUAACUACGUG
rnacentral:rRNA from 1 species